rnacentral:rRNA from 1 species
UGGGGAAUAUUGGACAAUGGGCGAAAGCCUGAUCCAGCGACGCCGCGUGGGUGAAGAAGGCCUGCGGGUUGUAAAGCCCUUUCGGUGGGGAAGAAAAGCCUCGUUUUAAUACAGCGGGGUCUUGACGUAACCCAAGAAAGAAGCACCGGCUAACUCUGUGCCAGCAGCCGCGGUAAUACAGAGGGUGCGAGCGUUAAUCGGAAUUACUGGGCGUAAAGCGCGCGUAGGCGGCUUUGCAAGUCGGGUGUGAAAUCCCCAGGCUUAACCUGGGAACUGCAUUCGAGACUGCAUUGCUAGAGUAUGGGAGAGGGAAGUGGAAUUUCAGGUGUAGCGGUGAAAUGCGUAGAUAUGCGGAGGAACACCGAUGGCGAAGGCAAUCCCCUGGGCCUGCACUGACGCUCAUGCACGAAAGCGUGGGGAGCAAA